rnacentral:lncRNA from 1 species
UGAUUCCUCCACCCAGAAGCCCUUAAAAUGCAGCUUUGUUUUAAGCCUUCUUGAAGAUUUGGGCUAGAUCUAGAAAAGAACCUCACCACGGAGGAUGUGCAAAGUACAACACGUGACCCCGGAGACGGAAGCUCUUCUCUACCUCCGUAAAGAUGAUCUCUGAUGAACAGACAUGAUCAUGCCUGGAGAACAGGGAUGGACAGUCCCGCUUCUGAAAGACCCUGUCUGGCUGAUGAUUCAUGGUGCGCCGGGCAGACCCCAGGCCAAGAGACCCCACCCACAGUACCUGAGUGCUCAGCUGGGAACCAGACCAGACCUCAAAACAGGUUUGCAGAAUUAAGAUGAGGAGCUGAGCUCAACACAGCCUCCGCAGCUCCCCAGGGCGGGCCUGAGCCGAGGGAGAGCCCAUGGCCAUCAGGGUGCUGGAAUGCAUGUCACACUGCAUUACGUGCAUUACGAUCCACGCUGCAAUGACAGCCCAGAGCGUGGAGAACCCAGAGAGGGUGGGGAGAUGGAAUCCCGGCGAGCCAGCGCUGGCAGGGACCACGGGGAGCAGCUGGUCCAGCCGCCGGUUUUCCAAGAGAGAAGACUAAGAAACCAGCCCCCCAGCAUUGACCUGGAUGCCUGCCACAGCCUCCUCCCUGGUCUCCGGCCUCCCACCUCUGCUCCUCGGUCUCCUCUACCCAGCCAGUAACUGCAGAGAGCACUAAAGCACAGUCCUGGCAUCUCACCCCCUUAACCCUGGCCACGGCUUCCCAGUGCCUCCAAGAUAAAGCACCAACACCUGAGGACAGCAGCUUGUUUUGAGAGUCCCCUCCAUUGAAACACGCACAUCUAAUUUGUCCUUCAGUUCGCUGGACUCCACGCUGAACGUGCCAUGCUCCAUUGCCCCGUGAGUAACUCCAUGCUCUUGCCGGUUUCACACGGCCUCUCAGAGCUGGAGCCUUUGUUCAGGAGCCCUGGGCAGCUUUCAGGAAGCUCUUGGGCUCAUCAGCUUCCUCUGGCUGAAGCCGCCCCAGUGGAAUCAUGGGGAUUUCUUACUUUGAAGGUGGGGCCACCCGCAGACUGUAACCGGCUGGUUCAAGAUCAAGGACUUCCCCAGGCCACCUGCCUCAGAGGCAAGAAAGGCUCAGCUGAGUCCCAGACACUCCUCGCUGUGGCCCCUCCUUCCUCCCUGCUGGGCAGGCCCCCCUCAAUUCUGUUUGCCAGCAGGGCCUAGUAACACUGAAAGACGAAAAGGGAAAUAAAAUAAACACAAUUAAUAGGCUAAAGGUUACUGAAUAAAGUGGCAGCAGUAAAUAAA